CUUCCGUAGGGUAACCUGCGGAAGGAUCAUUACAGUAUUCUUUUUGCCAGCGCUUAAUUGCGCGGCGAAAAAACCUUACACACAGUGUUUUUUGUUAUUACAAGAACUCUUGCUUUGGUCUGGACUAGAAAUAGUUUGGGCCAGAGGUUUACUAAACUAAACUUCAAUAUUUAUAUUGAAUUGUUAUUUAUUUUAAUUGUCAAUUUGUUGAUUAAAUUCAAAAAAUCUUCAAAACUUUCAACAACGGAUCUCUUGGUUCUCGCAUCGAUGAAGAACGCAGCGAAAUGCGAUAAGUAAUAUGAAUUGCAGAUUUUCGUGAAUCAUCGAAUCUUUGAACGCACAUUGCGCCCUUUGGUAUUCCAAAGGGCAUGCCUGUUUGAGCGUCAUUUCUCUCUCAAACCUUCGGGUUUGGUAUUGAGUGAUACUCUUAGUCGAACUAGGCGUUUGCUUGAAAUGUAUUGGCAUGAGUGGUACUGGAUAGUGCUAUAUGACUUUCAAUGUAUUAGGUUUAUCCAACUCGUUGAAUAGUUUAAUGGUAUAUUUCUCGGUAUUCUAGGCUCGGCCUUACAAUAUAACAAACAAGUUUGACCUCAAAUCAGGUAGGACUACCCGCUGAACUUAAGCAUAUCAAUAAGCGGGAAGGGAA
rnacentral:rRNA from 1 species